rnacentral:rRNA from 1 species
GACGAACGCUGGCGGCGCGCCUAACACAUGCAAGUCGAACGGAGCUGAGAGAAGCUUGCUUUUCUUAGCUUAGUGGCGAACGGGUGAGUAACGCGUGAGUAACCUGCCCUGGAGUGGGGGACAACAGUUGGAAACGACUGCUAAUACCGCAUAAGCCCACGAUCCGGCAUCGGAUUGAGGGAAAAGGAUUUAUUCGCUUCAGGAUGGACUCGCGUCCAAUUAGCUAGUUGGUGAGGUAACGGCCCACCAAGGCGACGAUUGGUAGCCGGACUGAGAGGUUGAACGGCCACAUUGGGACUGAGACACGGCCCAGACUCCUACGGGAGGCAGCAGUGGGGGAUAUUGCACAAUGGGGGAAACCCUGAUGCAGCGACGCCGCGUGGAGGAAGAAGGUUUUCGGAUUGUAAACUCCUGUUGUUAGGGACGAUAAUGACGGUACCUAACAAGAAAGCACCGGCUAACUACGUG